ensembl:lncRNA
UAAAGAAUUGUUGAUCGGGUUACAGCUUGUAGUAAGACAGAACAAUGAAAACCCGGGCAGCUCACUAAAUUUUAAACCCUCCUCCAUGUUGUAAGAAAAGAAAUUGUGGUAAUAGACACAUUUGUUCACCUGAGCCAGGAAUCAAUAUUCUUCUCAGCAGAAAAAGUUCCAAGACAAAAACCACAUCCUUUAAACAGCAGCAAUGAACACAAGGGGCUCUGAUUUACCCCGAUCCCUGACUACGUGAAGAAACAAGCCAGCGUGAGCUUCUGGUGCAAAGAGCACUGAAAAAGCAUGCUCUCCAGCUGCACGUUCCUGCAUACAGACUGCAUGUGCAGAUGUUUCCUUGCAGCGAAGUGUGUGACCCUGUGUGAGGAGCUGUUCUCCCUUCCCUUCUAAACACACCUGGAGCUCUCUUUGCCCUCAGCUCUACCAGCUCUCCUCUGACAGCUCUUUGCCACAGGAAAAUCUCAGUCUUCAGCUCACAGGGACUAAAAGUUGUGCUGCUCUGCUUAAACCUCUAAGUGUUGCUUUCCAGGCAGUACUGCUGGAAAGAGGCCAAAGGCUGAGCUGUGUACCAGCCUGAAGUCUCUGCGGUUGGAUUCCAAAGGGGUUUCCCCCUUUCUAAAGUACAGGCAGCAGACUGUGAUUAUCUGUGUGUAAGUGGUGUUGCAGAUUUGAACUCCACUACCUACACACUAGUGUCUGGCCUUGAAAUGUGCACUUCUAGGGAGGCAGAGAAAUGUUUAUGCAUUAAGGAAGCAGAGAUAAGAAGUAAGGUGCACUUUUUGGAUCAUGUAUCUCACAUCUGUGGAUGCACACAUGGCCCCUGACCUGGGAAGAGAGUUAAGGUCAGCAUUUAAGGAUGGAAAAGUUGUUUGUUUUCACAGGACAGCUGAAACGUCUGACUUUGCCCAUUUCCACUGUUUUUAUCCUGAACAUUUUCCUACUAACUCUGGUUUUCAUUUGCAGAAGAAACAUGCUGGGGAUUUAAAAUGUAACAUUUCUAUCAAACCAAUUCAAUGGCAGUUGCAACAGCACUGUCUUAUACAUGGCACUGAUACGAGUGCUACCCGGGUGAGCAGAAGCAGAAAUCAUUCUCCCUGUGGAAAGAUCUUGGCAGUGAAGAGCAGCAUCAGACAGUGCAAUCUAGCUUAAAAUUCAGCAUUGCCUGGUAAUAGUCAGCCACAAAAAUUAAAGUGAUCUAAAACAAAAAUUAAAAAAAAAAAAAAAAGAAGGUGAUAUAAAAAUCAAUAGCCUUUAAUCGUGCAGUAGUGUACUUUGAGGACACACUUCUGUAUGAUCAGAACUAGUGAUCAAAUAACAAUCAGGACAUCUAUGUGAAAGACUGUUUUCUGAGUACUACUGUAGAGAUGCUGUUCUGAAAAGUCAUCAGUUUAAAAAGUGAUGGUUAUAGAAAAGCUUAAUAUUGGAUUAAAAUGCAAGUAAUACAUGAUCAGGGCAAAGAACUGGCAGAUGGAGAAGGCAUGUUUUCUACUGCUUCCAUUAAACAAAUGAAGUAUCUCAACAGAUCUAACUUCUGGACAGCCUAAAAAGGGUAUACCCAUACUGAAACUGUAGCAGUGGCAAGCUAGCAGGGCUGGUCCUGGAGGGAUUUCAGUCAUAGUAUCCUAGAACCCUGACACAGCUCAUUCAUUUGGCUCCACAGGCAGCUCCACUGAGCUUUGAGUUAGCAGAGCAAGCACAGGGUGCAAGAGCUGACUGCUGCGGGCCAGCUCACAGCAGCACAGUGGUCUGUUUCUGGCAUGCAGAACAGCUUUAUCAGUGCUAUCUUGUUAUCUUUGCACUCUGCUCAGUGAUUUUAAAAUUUAUAUCAGCCAUGUAGGAAAUGAUGCAGAAAAUUAAGUAUGGUCUUAAAAUGCAACCAGGUGUCUCAUAAACCAGUUCAGGGCUGCACCUCAAAAAAUAAUUUCUCCAGAAUACUACAAAUCACUCCAUAGACAACUUAUGCCAUUUUCUGAAAAAGCUAAAUAUCUUUUAUUUCAGAAACCCAACAAUACCAAAAUCAACAGCUAGCUUGCAUCAGAGAUGAUCAUAGCUUUGAAGAUCAGCUGUCACAUGGAAUUGAAGGGCACGAAACCCACAGUAUGCACAAUUACCUAGAUUCCUUCCUGUCAUGCUGCCGCCUUUUGCAAUUUGAUUGCAGAAGCCUUUGUUAUGGAAAGCACUUAGAGUGUUUGGCAAAAUUCCAGCAAGUGGGACUGACAAGGGGUUUGAGGCCAAAAUCCAUUUCUACAGAAACGUCCACAAUGUGCUUCAUUCACACAACUCAAAAACCAAAACCAUCAGCAGAGAAUGUUAGCUCUUAUCUGUGUACAUCCAGAGGAAAUAGGAAGUAGAUCAGAUACUUUGAAUCUGGUCUCUGGCAGUGCUUCACUCUUCUUAUCUUUGUGCCAAUGUCUACGCUCAGUCUGCCUCUCUGCAAAUCCAGUCUGUUUCUUUUCUUGCCCAGCAACCACAAGUCUAUCACUUUCUCCUUAGCUGCAGCCUUCAAACAUGUGAAAACUAUUGUUGUGCCUUCUUCAGUCUAAACAUCUUUCAACUCUUAAAUGGUGGUGAACAUAAACAUUCAAAUCUCAGGAGCUCUGAAAAUAAUAGAAACCUUUCAGUGUAUCUCAUAUACAGAAUUUCUUUUUUUUUUUUCACUUUCUCUAUUUUAACAUUCAAUACAAAAGAAUACAGUGAAGAGGUAUCUUUUUUCCUGAAAAACAGAGGAGAAAAAUGUAUGCUUGAAUCAUUUAUGAUGCUGCCUUUGAUUUUUGAGAGGAAGCUGACGGCAGUAAAAUAAACAACUGCCUAGUCAGAGCUUCAGGCCAUACCUUACAUUCCUCCAAGAGAUAUUCCCUAUGCAGUCAUUUUGUUUCAAAGAGUAAAAGCUCAGUAAAAUUUUCUUGUUGUUCUGAUCAGGGCUAUGGGAUGUCACGGCUCUCCUACAUUCCUUUAUACAUCCAGACGUAGCGUUUGAGUCUUGGAGUUGACUGGUUAGGAAAUACAGAAUCAUAGAACCAUGUAGGUUGGAAAGGAUUCGUAAGAUCAUCAAGACCAACUAUCAUCAGCUAACACUAUAAGCCCACCAAUGAACCACGUCCUUAAGUGCCAUGUUCUGAGUUAAAUACCUCAAGAUGGGGACUCCACCACUUCCCUGGGCAGUCAGUUCCAGUGCCUGCCCACCCUUGAAGCAGGAUCUUAUGAAGCAUUAUGAACAGGUGGAAGUACCAGAUUUUGUGUCAGGAACAUGAGUCCUGUUUAUUCAAAGACAUGCCAACGUUCACAAGCAGUGCCUGAUAUUUUCUUUACUUCUUUUGCUUCUUUCCACUCUAGUACAUCUUUAAACAGGGGAAAAAACAAACAAGCAAACACAUUCUUUGUAAUAUGCUUAUAAAGAAAUCUCUUCUGCGACGUGAUCUUAUCUCUCUGUGCAUAAACAAACGGGUCUCAUAUUGGGGUGGCUUAAGAUGCCUUUUUUAAAAUGCCAUCACUUAAGAGGUCACAGGUUCUAAGGUCAUCAGCCCAUGGUGAUUUGUUUUAACAGACAGUCAAUACAUCUAACCAGACUACAAGAACAAUAUUGUAUAGUAUACACUAAACAUUAAAAAAAUGUUUACUU